rnacentral:lncRNA from 1 species
UCUCCAGCAAUGACAUUUCACCUUGAGCAUACUACUCAGUUUUGGGAAAAAUGCAAUCAUUUAAGUUAGGAUCACAAGUUAUAAAUUAAAGUAGGAUUCAAGAUGAUGAAUUCCAUCCCUCCAGAUUUUUCUGGCGAGGCCACGAUCCAUUCUGAACACCAAUGGCAAAGUCUCCACGGUCCACUCAGAAGAUUCUGAACACCAAAAGGAGCAAUGAAUGAGCUUCUGUGCAGGGAAGAGUGAAGAAGCAGAGUAAGCAAAUCAAAGCUUUGAUAUCAAAGUUUAAACUUUCAGUUAGUGUUACUGAUUUUGGAAUUGAAGUGGCAUAUGUGCAAAUCAGUGUGUUGCUCAUCAUAGAUUGUGAAUUUAAGGUUUCACUCUUAGGAUAUGGGCAUUCAGUAACAUAACAUCUAAUCUUACUUUCAUAAAGUUUAGCACAGAGGUGUGGGGUGAGAAGCACCUCCAGUAGUGGGGUGUUCUUCAUGUUGGUUAUUCCUGAGUUCUCAUCCAUAUCAACUAGUUAAUCGAUCAGAUGGAGUUGUAAUUUCAAACACAUGUAGCAAAUGAGCCGGUGUAUGUAAUUUGAGUAACUUAGAGAGUUAUAGUGAAAGAAAGGCUCCAAAUGGUGUCAAUUCAAAACUUUGGCUCUAACAUCACAUUGCUUGUAAGUUGUAAGAAACCUAAUUAAUUCUGAUUGGAAUAGAUAGAAGUCGAGCCAGACAUCUGAAUCUCACUGAAUUAAUCUUUGA